AGCUACUCUUUAGAGGUAUGAUGGAUCUCCCCACAAAGUCUGGUUCAGGUGUCAAGACCUACACACCAAGAAACGAUGAGAAGAAUUAUCAUUCACAUGAGACUUUCUGGGGCAAGCAGAGUGGCUACCAAACAGGUCUUAAAAUGGCUUGAGAAAUCCAGGUAAGGAGAUUGAGAUUUGAAGUUCAGGAUAGAAAACAGCAUCAAUAUUAUCAGAAUGCACAAGCCACGAACCCCAUUGCCAGACUGCUUGUUACAUGGCAGGUACACAAUUAUAUUUAUAAUAUAAAAAAUGAAUGAUUGAGCAAAUAAAAAUAAAAACAACUAAGAGUGGAGAAUG
rnacentral:lncRNA from 1 species